rnacentral:rRNA from 1 species
UGGGGAAUCUUGCGCAAUGGGCGAAAGCCUGACGCAGCGACGCCGCGUGCGGGAAGAAGGCCUUCGGGUUGUAAACCGCUUUCAGGAGGGACGAGGCCACUCGGGUUAAUAGCCCAGAGGGUGACGGUACCUCCAGAAGAAGCCCCGGCUAACUACGUGCCAGCAGCCGCGGUAAUACGUAGGGGGCUAGCGUUGUCCGGAUUUAUUGGGCGUAAAGAGCGCGUAGGCGGCCGAGUAAGUCCGACGUGAAAUCUGGAGGCUCAACCUCCAGCGGUCGUUGGAAACUACUCGGCUAGAGUCCGGAAGAGGAGAGUGGAAUUCCUGGUGUAGCGGUGAAAUGCGCAGAUAUCAGGAAGAACACCGAUGGCGAAGGCAGCUCUCUGGGACGGUACUGACGCUGAGGCGCGAAAGCGUGGGGAGCGAACAGGAUUAGAUACCCUGGUAGUCCACGCCGUAAACGAUGGGUGCUAGGUGUGGGCGGUGUCGACUCCGCCCGUGCCGAAGCUAACG